CAGCAUUGAUAUAUUAGCUGUGCAUGAGCAUUAAACCAAAUACAAAAGUCUGAAGGUAACUAGCAUUUAUUAUAUUAUAUAUAAAAAACGCUUAACGAGAUAACCAGAAAAAAGAGAAUUAGUCUAGAAAAUCCUACAAUAAUUAGAAACAUCUAGCCAUUAAUUUAAACUGAUUAGGCGACCAUAGCCAAUGGGUUAAAAGGUAAAGAAAUUACCCACCAUUGCCUUUGAUAAGUUAUCUCACCCACGUCAUCUACAAAAAACAAACUCGCCCACGUUAAAAAAUAUUACCAAGGCAACACAAUUUUCGUGUAAGAUCUCUCCUCUCUCAUUAAGAAAAAAAAAUGAUGCCCGCUAAAGAAAAGGAUUAUUAGUUUUAAGUUAAAAAAACAACCCCCAAACCUCAUAGCUAUUCGCUCAAUCUUUUCCAUCUCUUCUUUCUCUCAAACGUGAAACAGCGGGAGCCAGGGAGGCGACCGGCGAUAGCCACGACCGUAACCCAGGCCAGGAACGCUGGAGACGAAGGCUAUCACCGGAGACCGAAGAAGACGACCAGGACUCCAGGAGCAAACUGAUUGAUGAUGGUCGCCGCCGACUUCUGCUACCAGUUUAUUGAAUCUUCUUGAACGAUCAAUUAACCUACCUUGCGCACAGAGGUACAUGUAACUCGGCUUCAGGUCCUAGCCAAAUCAGUCCUACUGUGCGGCACAGGUAACAACACACGUACAGCUGCAGCCGAAGAAGGAGUUAUGUGAUAUGUGGAGUACGUGCAGAUGGAGGCAACAGUGGGAGAUGGAGCAGAAUAAGAUUAGAAACCAUGUUCCAGUGUGUCACUAUAUUGAUUCGGCAUUUGGACCCCAUUGAAUGUUGGUGUGAUGUAGUUGCAAACAAUGGUUAUCACAGCCUCAUAGGUGCGUCAUCUAGAUGUUUGUCUUAUAUGUAGUAGUGUGUAUUCUCUCACUCUUUUCAACUAUUCUCCAUCCAAACAAGUGACACGAUGCUAAAAAGUUUCUUCAGCUCGGAGUAUUAGUAAGUAAAUACUCUUUUGUAUGUAUAUAUUAUAUAGCUGUAAAGGAUUUUUUAUUUGAUAUAUAUUUUACUGUUUAAACAGCCUUGGAAGAGCCCUUGAUUUAUUUGGGAAAAGAAAGUGGAUGCACCAUGUGAGUUAUUUGGAACCUUGAUGUAGCAAAUUAAUACAUAUAUGACCUUCAGCAGAGCUCAUCUAUUUAACAUAAAAAGUAAAUGAUGGGUUAACUAGAAAAAAGAAAAUACCUUAGAAAUUCUAACAAAAAUUAGAAACAUCUAGCAUUAAUUUAAUAAUUCGGGAAACCACAGCCAAUAGAUCUCAACAAUUACCUAUCAACGUUACAAAUGAAAGAAAAUUACCCACCUAUGCCAUUACUAUUUUCCUACGGUACAUAUGUGCAUAAACAAAAUCAAUCAAAGGUUGCCUGCUAUUGCAGCCGGGAAAAAAGGCACUAGAAAAAAUAGAAAGAGAACUCCUCGUGAAAAAAAGGGAAAGAAAGCUGCGGGCUAUACAUCCUCCUGUGGCCGCCAUGUCCAAUCUAUAUGCGCCUGCCAUGUCUGAUCUGUAUGCCCUUGACAUGUCCUCCCUUCUUCAUGAGUUUGAUCUGCCUGUCCUCCUUCUCCAUGAGUUUGAUCUGCCUUGACCUAUUCACUAAUCUGCAAAUAGGAGUAAUCUACAAAAAGUUGACCUAUCUGCCGCCAAAAAUCAUCAAGUACCAUGGUUCCGAACGAUGUUGUGUAUGGGCUUCAGUUGUCCGUACACACUGGGUAAGAAAAUCGCUUCAUGCAUCGCGACUGAAAGCAAGCUCUAGGUAUUGGGGAGACCAAUCAAUCGACUAAAUAGAAGAGUUGUGCUCAUAAUGGCUUGCAUGCAACCAUAAUAUGCAUGGAACAUUCGAGCAGACACUUUCAUUGGUCAUGUAAGAGGCACCGAAAGAAUCAGAUCUGCUUUUGUAGAUUACUGGAUAGCUCAAGGAGGUGCCGACAGAGUAAGAUCGGUGUUCGUAGAUUACUGGACAUGUAAGGUAGACAAGCGCGCUCUCUGGCUCUGUCUUAAUCCAACUAUUUUGUCAUAUUAGUUCAUUGUAAGUAUUCAUAUUAGUAGAUGCCUUCCAAAAAUGCUUUUCUUGGAUCAUUUCCUUUCCUCAGUAGUAGUAUGUCAUUUGGUAUUUUGUUUUCAAUUCGACGCUUUCUGAUGAUGUAUUUCUUCCAUCGCCAGCAGAAUCCACACAGGAAAGCUACCAGACUUGAUGGAUCAAUCGAAUCAAUCGACUACUUGCAUCUAGCAACAUGAUACUCACACUGAUCGGUUUUAAUUGCGCCUGUUUCCAUGUUUUCCACUACAUGAAUGAGCAGUCCAAGCGCUGGCAACAUGCCUCCGCCGUUUAACCUAAUAGGGCAUCAUGUGCCCAUACAAAGUAGAAACUAACGUCACAAGAGGUAGUUUUUAUCUUGAUGGUGGGUAAUUGUUUCGUCGCUACUCUUACAAAUCCUCUUGGCAACUAUAUGCAAUCCUUCUCAGAAGUCCUUCGCCGCCACACGAGAGCAAAAAAGUUGGUUGCCGGACAUGUGGUUUUAUAAGCCGCAGCCGCCGGGGAAGGCCAAUGACGAUGUACCCCUACAAGCAAAUACAUAGUCAAGAUUUUUUUGGAGAAGACCAAUGUUGAUGCGCCAGGGUAAGAAGUACAGAUAGUCUAGGUUACCUUUUUCUUUGGAGAAAUUGAGUUGAUUAUGACGUUCUACUUGUAGCUCAUUUCUUUAUAAAAUUUACCUAUGGAUCAAGCA